rnacentral:rRNA from 1 species
UGGCGGAAUGCUUUACACAUGCAAGUCGAGCGGCAGCGCGGGGGCAACCCUGGCGGCGAGCGGCGAACGGGUGAGUAACACAUCGGAACGUACCCAGUUGUGGGGGAUAGCCCGGCGAAAGCCGGAUUAAUACCGCAUACGACCUGAGGGUGAAAGGGGGGGAUCGCAAGACCUCUCGCAGUUGGAGCGGCCGAUGGCGGAUUAGCUAGUUGGUGAGGUAAAGGCUCACCAAGGCGACGAUCCGUAGCUGGUCUGAGAGGACGACCAGCCACACUGGAACUGAGACACGGUCCAGACUCCUACGGGAGGCAGCAGUGGGGAAUUUUGGACAAUGGGGGCAACCCUGAUCCAGCCAUUCCGCGUGAGUGAAGAAGGCCUUCGGGUUGUAA